AAUGAACGCUGGCGGCGCGCCUAAUACAUGCAAGUCGAGCGAGAAGACGUAGCAAUACGUUUGUAAAGCGGCGAACGGGUGAGGAAUACAUGGGUAACCUACCCUCGAGUGGGGAAUAACUAGCCGAAAGGUUAGCUAAUACCGCGUACGCUUCUUGGACUUCGGUUCAGGGAGGAAAGCGAUGCCGAGGGUAUCGCGCUCUUGGAUGGGCUCAUGUCCUAUCAGCUUGUUGGNGAGGUAACGGCUCACCAAGGCUUCGACGGGUAGCUGGUCUGAGAGGACGAUCAGCCACACUGGCACUGCGACACGGGCCAGACUCCUACGGGAGGCAGCAGUAAGGAAUAUUGCGCAAUGGGCGAAAGCCUGACGCAGCGACGCCGCGUGGGGGA
rnacentral:rRNA from 1 species